GACGAACGCUGGCGGCGUGCCUAAUACAUGCAAGUCGAGCGGAGCGGCGAACGGGUGAGUAUCGCGUGAGUAACUGCCCCCCUCUCUGGGAUAACAGUUGGAAACGGCUGCUAAUACCGGAUAGUGGGGGAUGACUCGCGUCCUAUCAGCUUGUUGGUGGGGUGGUGGCCUACCAAGGCGACGACGGGUAGCCGGCCUGAGAGGGCGACCGGCCACAUUGGGCUGAGAUACGGCCCAAACUCCUACGGGAGGCAGCAGUGGGGAAUAUUGCACAAUGGGGGAAACCCUGAUGCAGCCAUGCCGCGUGUAUGAAGAAGGCCUUCGGGUUGUAAAGUACUUUCAGCGAGGAGGAAGGUUAAUAACCUUGGUGAUUGACGUUACUCGCAGAAGAAGCACCGGCUAACUACGUGCCAGCAGCCGCGGUAAUUC
rnacentral:rRNA from 1 species